rnacentral:rRNA from 1 species
UCAGUAACACGUAGUUAAUCUGCCCUUAGGACGGACAUAACCCUGGGAAACUGGGGCUAAUAUUCGAUAGAUGGGAGUACCUGGAAUGGUCUUCCGUCCAAAGGUUCUUGAGAACAUGCUUUCAGGGACGCCCAAGGAUGAGACUGCGUCCGAUCAGGCUGUUGGUGGGGUAACGGCCCACCAAACCUAUAAUCGGUACGGGCCCUGAGAGGGGGAGCCCGGAGAUGGGAACUGAGACAAGGUCCCAGGCCCUACGGGGCGCAGCAGGCGCGAAAACUUCACAAUGCGCGAAAGCGUGAUGGGGUUACCCCGAGUGCCGACCGAUGAGGAUGGCUUUUCUCCAGUGUAAGAAGCUGAAGGAAUAAAGGGGGGGUAAGACUGGUGUCAGCCGCCGCGGUAAUACCAGCCCCCUGAGUGAUAGGGACGAUUAUUUAGCCUAAAGCGUCCGUAGCCGGCUUAAGAAAGUCUUUCGUUAAAUCUAACGGCUCAACCGUUAGGCCGCGGAAGAUACUUCUAGACUAGGAGGGCGGGAGAGGUUGACGGUAUUCCCCGGGGUAGGGGUGAAAUCCUAUAAUCCCGGGGGGACCACCAGUGGCGAAGGCGGUCAACUAGAACGCGCCUGACGGUGAGGGACGAAAGCUGGGGAGCGAACCGGAUUAGACACCCGGGUAGUCCCAGCCGUAAACGAUGCGGGCUGGGUGUUGGGGCAGCUACGAGCUGCUCCAGUGCCGCAGAGAAGUUGUUAAGCCCGCCGCUUGAGAAAGUACGGGCCGCAAGGCUGAAACUUAA